UACGUAGGUGGCAAGCGUUAUCCGGAAUUAUUGGGCGUAAAGAGCGCGCAGGUGGUUGAUUAAGUCUGAUGUGAAAGCCCACGGCUUAACCGUGGAGGGUCAUUGGAAACUGGUCGACUUGAGUGCAGAAGAGGGAAGUGGAACUCCAUGUGUAGCGGUGAAAUGCGUAGAGAUAUGGAGGAACACCAGUGGCGAAGGCGGCUUACUGGACGAUAACUGACGUUGAGGCUCGAAAGCGUGGGGAGGCAAACAGGAUUAGAUACCCU
rnacentral:rRNA from 1 species